rnacentral:rRNA from 1 species
AUAUUAAUAAGCGGAGGAAAAGAAACUAACAAGGAUUCCCCUAGUAACGGCGAGUGAAGCGGGAACAGCUCAAAUUUGAAAUCUCCGGCGGCAACGUCGGCGAAUUGUAGUUUAGAGAAGCGCCUUCUGGGGCAGACGCCGUCCAAGUUCUUUGGAACAGGACAUCAGAGAGGGUGAGAAUCCCGUAUCUGGCGGCGAGUUUCUGCUUCUGUACGGGGCGUUUUCGAAGAGUCGGGUUGUUUGGGAAUGCAGCCCAAAAUGGGUGGUAAAUUUCAUCUAAAGCUAAAUACAGGCACGAGACCGAUAGCGCACAAGUA